rnacentral:lncRNA from 1 species
AACCAUACCUAUUCAAGUCACCACAGAGUUAUACAUUUAAAUUUGGCGAAGUCUAUUUGUUUUUUUGACAGAUCUGGCCAAGUUGCUCAGGUUGGCCUCCAACUGAAGCUUCUUUGACCUCCCUAGAUGCUUGAAUCACAGGCAUAUGCCCUGCACCAGUGACAAUGGUCACUUUCUAUCAUCUUCAAAAGGUAUUCAGUAUUAAAAUGAGAAAAGCUACAAAACAGGACAUGCAUUUAAAGUGUAUGUGUGGGGGAGGUGUGUGGGGGUGCUUACAUAUGUAUAUGUAUGUAUUUGUGUGUGUGUGUGUGUAUAUAUAUAUAUAUAUAUAUACAUAUAUAUAUGUUUAUGUAGCUGGGAAUUAAUAUUUCUAAAUAUUGACAGAAUAUACACUAUGGUUGACAAACAUGUUUUAAAAUUUUUGUCCUGUCUAAAUUUUUGCAUUGAACAUAUGUAGUUACCAGAAGAUAAGAAAAUUUCAUUUUUGGGCUGGAGAGAUGGCUCAGUGGUUAAGAGCUCCGACUGCUCUUCCGAAGGUCCUGAAUUCAAAUCCCAGCAACCACAUGGUGGCUCACAACCAUCUGUAAUGAGAUCUGAUGCCCUCUUCUGGUACAUCUGAAGACAGCUAUAGUGUACUUACAUAUAAUAAUAAAUAAAUUUUCAAAUUCUGUAUCAGGGAAAAUUUGGCAGCCACUAGAGAUAAAGUUACAGAAAACAUUUUUGCUGGAUGGGAGUGUAACUCAGUCAAUAGCACAGAGCCCUGGGUUCAAUCCCUAGGACCACACAAAUUAGGCAUAAUAUCACAUGACUUUAAUGCCAACAGUCUGGAGAGAGAGUCAGGCAGGGGUGUCAGAAGUUCAAUGUUAUCUUGGUUACACGACAAGUUUGAAGCCAGUCUAGGCUCCAUCAAACUCUGUCUCUGAACAAAGAGAGAAGCAAAAAGAGUGGUCACAGGGGAGAGAGGCAUAUUUUAACUCAUACAAUAAAAUUCCAGCCACUGAACUAUAUAAAACAGACCAGCAAAAGCUAUACGUGGAGUCGGUUAGCAUAGAUAGUAUAUUCAACAACUGAAAAU